rnacentral:rRNA from 1 species
GACGAACGCUGGCGGCGUGCUUAACACAUGCAAGUCGAACGGAAAGGCCCUGCUUUUGUGGGGUGCUCGAGUGGCGAACGGGUGAGUAACACGUGAGUAACCUGCCCUUGACUUUGGGAUAACUUCAGGAAACUGGGGCUAAUACCGGAUAGGAGCUCCUGCUGCAUGGUGGGGGUUGGAAAGUUUCGGCGGUUGGGGAUGGACUCGCGGCUUAUCAGCUUGUUGGUGGGGUAGUGGCUUACCAAGGCUUUGACGGGUAGCCGGCCUGAGAGGGUGACCGGCCACAUUAGGACUGAGAUACGGCCCAGACUCCUACGGGAGGCAGCAGUGGGGAAUAUUGCACAAUGGGCGGAAGCCUGAUGCAGCAACGCCGCGUGCGGGAUGACGGCCUUCGGGUUGUAAACCGCUUUCGCCUGUGACGAAGCGUGAGUGACGGUAAUGGGUAAAAAAGCACCGGCUAACUACGUG